rnacentral:rRNA from 1 species
AUUGAACGCUGGCGGCAUGCUUUACACAUGCAAGUCGAACGGUAACAGGCCGCAAGGUGCUGACGAGUGGCGAACGGGUGAGUAAUGCAUCGGAACGUGCCCAGUCGUGGGGGAUAACUACUCGAAAGAGUAGCUAAUACCGCAUACGAUCUAUGGAUGAAAGCGGGGGACCGUAAGGCAUCGCGCGAUUGGAGCGGCCGAUGUCAGAUUAGGUAGUUGGUGGGGUAAAGGCUCACCAAGCCAACGAGCUGUAGCUGGUCUGAGAGGACGACCAGCCACGCUGGGACUGAGACACGGCCCAGACUCCUACGGGAGGCAGCAGUGGGGAAUUUUGGACAAUGGGCGCAAGCCUGAUCCAGCAAUGCCGCGUGCAGGAAGAAGGCCUUCGGGCUGUAAACUGCUUUUGUACGGAACGAAACGGCUCUGGUUAAUACCCGGGGCUAAUGACGGUACCGUAAGAAUAAGCACCGGCUAACUACGUG